rnacentral:rRNA from 1 species
GAUGAACGCUGGCGGCGUGCCUAAUACAUGCAAGUCGAGCGAAUGGAUUAAGAGCUUGCUCUUAUGAAGUUAGCGGUGGACGGGUGAGUAACACGUGGGUAACCUGCCCAUAAGACUGGGAUAACUCCGGGAACCCGGGGCCAAUACCGGAUAACAUUUUGAACCGAAUGGUUCGCAAUUGCAAGGUGGCUUCGGCUGUCACUUAGGGAUGGACCCGCGUCGCAUUAGCUAGUUGGUGAGGUAACGGCUCACCAAGGCAAUGAUGCGUAGCAGACCUGAGAGGGUGAUCGGCCGCACUGGGAGUGGGUCACGGCCCAGACUCCUACGGGAGGCAGCAGUAGGGAAUCUUCCGCAAUGGACGAAAGUCUGACGGAGCAACGCCGCGUGAAUGAUGAAGGCUUUCAGGUCGUAAAACUCUGUUGUUAGGGAAGAACAAGUGCUAGUUGAAUAAGCUGACACCUUGACGGUACCUAACCAGAAAGCCACGGCUAACUACGUGCCAGCCGCCGCGGUAA